rnacentral:lncRNA from 1 species
CAAACUGGUGUUGUUUCAUAAGAUUGUGACCUUUGAUAAAACACACACUUUCAGCAACACCUUUGCUAAAUGUUACAAUGUUUCGUCUAUAACAAUAUUUUUCAAACGCUGCACGGUAUCGCCUACAAAAAUAGUUUUCAAAGGUUGUAUUAUUUCACAUUCUGCAACACUUCACGAAGUGUUGUCUAUUUCCGAAUUCAAAAAUUAAUCUUCUUUUUGUUAUGAGUUAUGUUUAAUGUAAGUG